CGUGUAGGCGGCCAUUUAAGUCUGGAGUGAAAGUCCUGUUUUAAGGUGGGAAUUGCUUUGGAUACUGGAUGGCUUGAGUGCAGGAGAGGUUAUCGGAAUUCCCGGUGUAGCGGUGAAAUGCGUAGAGAUCGGGAGGAACACCAGUGGCGAAGGCGGGUAACUGGACUGCAACUGACGCUGAGGCGCGAAAGUGUGGGGAGCAAACA
rnacentral:rRNA from 1 species